UACGGUAGGGUCCGAGCGUUGUCCGGAAUUACUGGGCGUAAAGAGCUCGUAGGUGGUUUGUCGCGUUGUUCGUGAAAACUCACAGCUUAACUGUGGGCGUGCGGGGCGAGUACGGGCAGACUUGAGUACUGGCAGGGGAAGACUGGAAUUCCUGGUGUAGCGGUGGAAUGCGCAGAUAUCAGGAGGAACACCGGUGGCGAAGGCGGGGUCUCUGGGCAGUAACUGACGCUGAGGAGCGAAAGCGUGGGGAGCGAACAGG
rnacentral:rRNA from 1 species